AACGCACGAGACCUGCGGACCUGCGGAGGGAUCAUUAUUGAAUAUCUUGCCUUGAUAGGUUGUAGCUGGCCUCUUGAGGCAUGUGCACACCUGUCUUGACUCUAUUCAUCCACCUGUGCAUCUAUUGUAGUCCUUUGUUCUUUGUAGGUUAAGGAAAGCAGGCCUUUAUUCAGUUGAAACAUACUGGUCUUGAGGAUUGCCUCUGGCUAUCUUCUUCUCUGGCUCUGUGGACUUGUGCUU
rnacentral:misc_RNA from 1 species